rnacentral:rRNA from 1 species
GGCUCUGCGCUAUGGCAAGCCCUUGACCGUCAUAGGUGCUUUGAUUGGGGUUUUCAGUCUAGCCAACAAGGCUGGGUUGAAGGACUUUGGGGCUGCAUUGGGGGCGCAAGGGCAGCUCUGUUCGUGGCGUCCGAUGACCGUCAUGAUGCAUGCGUGAUUGGACUUCAACUAGCAAUUUAUCAUUAUCAUCAUCAUUACUAUGGGUUACCUCAGGUCAGAGAAGACUACCCGCUGGACUUAAGCAUAUCACUAAGCGGAGGAAAAGAAACUAACUAGGAUUCCCCCAGUAACUGCGAGUGAAGAGGGAAGAGCUCAUCAUUGGAAUCUGGCAGUGUUGCACUGUCCGAGUUGUAGAUGAGGAGUAGUCCGUCUGGACUGCAUGGCGUCCAAGUACAAUAGGCCGUCAGUGGGACAUCAUAGAGGGUGACAAUCCCGUCCUUGACGCCAAUGUGCAAGUCUAUUACGAUGGCUAUCUCAGAGAGUCGAGCAGUUUGGGAUUUGCUGCUUAAACAUGGGAGGUAGAUUCCUUCUAAAGCUAAAUACAGGCGAGAGACCGAUAGAGAACAAGUACCGCAAGGGAAAGAUGAAAUAGCACUCUGUGAAGGGAGUCAAAAGGCGUGAAAUUGUUGCGAGAGAAGCGAUUCAAGUCAGCGUAGCUAGGCCCAUCAAGCGUCUUCGCUUUGGACUAGCUUUGCCAGCGGUCUUGUCCCUUGAAGAGACUUGACUUGUAAUAUGUCCAGCCUGGCGUGCACAGGCAGCCCCUUCUGGGGGCCAGUGGCAUGGCUGGUGGAAUGGCUUGCAAUCGACCCGUCUUGAAACACGGACCAAGGAGUCUAACAUGUAUGCGAGUAUAAGGGUGGCAAACCCGUAUGCGCAAUGAAAGUGAUUUUCGGUGAUUGAGAAUGGCCUGAUGACCAGACAAGCAAUAUAUGUCCCUCGUACGGCCAUUGCCCAAGUUCCGUGGUAGAUCCCACGAACAUGGAGUUGGAGCAUACAUGCUAGGACCCGAAAGAUGGUGAACUAUGCCUGGACAAAGCGAAGCCAAAGGAAACUCUGGUGGAGGCUUGUAGCGAUUCUGACGUGCAAAUCGAUCGUCUGAUCUGGGUAUAGGGGCGAAAGACUAAUCGAACCAUCUCAUAGCUGGUUCCUGCCGAAGUUUCCCUCAGGAUAGCAGAGACCUAGUGGAAGUUGCAUGUGGUAAAGCGAAUGAUUAUUGAUCCUGGGGCUCAAAUGGGCCUCAGUCUAUUCUCAAACUGUGAAUGCGUGCGGUUGGACUGUGCUUAUCAAUAGAAGCCCUGCCAGCAAUGCUUCAGUCUCUAGUGGGCCGUUUCUGGUAAGCAGAACUGGCGAUGCGGGAUGAACCGAAAGUGAGGUUAAAGUGCCAGAAUGCACACUAACCAGAGAUAAAAGGUGUAUGUGCAUGGACACAGCAGGGCAGUGGCCAUGGAGGUUGGCAUCUGCUAAGGAGUGUGUAACAACUCACCUGCCUAAUGUACUUGCCCUGAAAAUGGAUGGCGCUCAAGUGUGUUACUCAUACCUCGCCAUCAGUCUCCAGUGAUAACGGACUGAUGUGUAGGCAGGCGUGAAGGUCAAUCUUCGAAGCCUAGGAAGUGAUUCCAGGUGGAGAGGCCUUUAGUGCAGAUCUUGGUGGUAGUAGCAAAUAUUCAUAGUGGAAACCUUGAAGACUGAAGUGGAGAAGGGUUCCAUGGGCACCGUGAUGGGACAUGGGUUAGCCGAUCCUAAGACAUUGGUGAGACAUCCGUACAGAAAGGAGCUUGAUUGGCGCUGUCAAGCCGUGGUCGAAAGGGGACUAGGUUAAGAUUCCUAGGCCGGGUAAGAGGGAGUCUGGUAAGACGGUAACGUCGCAUCACAUUGGAGAUCAUGAUGGGGAGUUCAGGUGUGGAUCUCGACCAUAUUUAACAGUCUAACGGUCCCCGGAGAUGAGUUCAGCUCGCGGUGGGUGACUUACCUGACUGGAAGAGCCCAGCGCCUUGCGUUGGAGUCUGGACGAUCCCUGUCAUGCCUUGAAAAUCCAAUGGGACAGCAUUAGGCUCCCUACCGUUCGUACCCAAUCACCGCCGCAGGUCUCCAAGGUUAAAAGCCUCUAGUCAAGUAGAACAAUGUAGAUAAGGGAAGUCGGCAAAAUCGAUUCGUAACUUUGGGACAAGGAUUGGCUCUAAGGAUUGGGCAAUUCUCUGGGUCGAGUAUGGGGUACUGGGCCUGUUGGUGUGGACCUAUCCACUGGUCGGGGUGUAGGCGUAACGAGCCCCUUCCAGGCUCGCCAUCAGGAGGGCAGGGUAUGAAAGCAUCAGCGGUGUUUACAGCCCAACUUGACUGGCCUGGUGCAAGCGACCAGAGGUGCAUUAACAAUCCACUUAGAACUGACACGAACCAGGGGAAUCUGACUGUCUACUUAAAACAUAGCAUCGCGAGAGUCCGGAAGGGCUUUUACGCGUUGUGAUUUCUGCCCAGUGCUCUGAAUGUCAAAGUGAAGAAAUU